CUGAUCGAGUCGUCCUGCGCGGAAGAUGUAACGGGGCUAAGCCAGUCACCGAAGCUGCGGAUAUGUCUUUGACAUAUGGUAGGAGAGCGUUCUGUAAGCCUGCGAAGGUGUCUUGUAAAGGAUGCUGGAGGUAUCAGAAGUGCGAAUGCUGACAUGAGUAGCGAUAAUGCGGGUGAAAAGCCCGCACGCCGUAAGCCCAAGGUUUCCUGUUCAACGUUCAUCGGAGCAGGGUGAGUCGGCCCCUAAGGCGAGGCAGAGAUGCGUAGCUGAUGGGAAGCAGGUUAAUAUUCCUGCACCGUCGUAUGAUGCGAUGGGGGGACGGAUCGCGGAAGGUUGUCCAGCUGUUGGAAUAGCUGGUUUCUGGUUCAUAGAAGGCGCUUAGGCAAAUCCGGGCGCGGAAUUCAAGGGACUGGGACGUGCACUCUUGUAGUGCGAAGCAAUCGGAAGUGGUUCCAAGAAAAGCCUCUAAGCUUCAGUCAUACGAGACCGUAC
rnacentral:rRNA from 1 species